UACGGAGGGUGCAAGCGUUGUUCGGAUUUACUGGGCGUAAGCGCGCGCAGGUGGAUGGACAAGUCGGAAGUGAAAUCUUGAGGCUCAACCUCGAGGCUGCUCCCGAAACUGUUCGUCUAGGGACUGGUAGAGGCUGGUAGAAUUCCCGGUGUAGCGGUGGAAUGCGUAGAGAUCGGGAAGAAUACCCGUGGCGAAGGCGGCCAGCUGGGCCAGGUCCGACACUGAGGCGCGAAAGCGUGGGGAGCGAACAGG
rnacentral:rRNA from 1 species